UUACGGCCAUAUCAUGUUGAAACACUAGUUCUCGUACGAUCACAAGUGAAGCAACGUCAAGCCUGGGCACUGCCUAGUUGGGUGACCGCUUGCGAAUACCAGGUGCUGUUU